rnacentral:rRNA from 1 species
GACGUAGGGGACGAGCGUUGUCCGGAUUCAUUGGGCGUAAAGCGCGCGCAGGCGGUUACGCAAGUCGGUUGUGAAAAUCCGGGGCUCAACCCCGGACCUGCAUCCGAUACUGCGUGACUAGAGGUAGGUAGGGGAGAUCGGAAUUCCUGGUGUAGCGGUGAAAUGCGCAGAUAUCAGGAAGAACACCCGUGGCGAAAGCGGCUCUCUGGAACGGUACUGACGCUGAGACGCGAAAGCGUGGGGAGCGAACAGG